GGUGAAGUAGAAGUGCUAGAUUUGGGAUCAGAAGACCAGGGUUCAAAUCCCAGCUUUACCA
rnacentral:tRNA from 1 species